UAGACGCGUGGCCGGAGAGGAAGCCAACGUGUGCCUGCCUGUUGAGUGCCUGACGUGCCCUGGGAGACUUGUGGUGCCCCUGUGAACUUGUAAAGCAGUGUACUUGCGGAGGAUUUGUCAAUAAACUUAGGAAAUAGUGCCCGUGUUUUUCCCUUGUGGCCUGGCCUCGUGUGUGUGUGUGUGUGUGUGUGCACGCGCGCCUUGUCCCGGCGUUCAGAGUGUGACUCCGCUGCUCUACCUAUACCCGUGUGGAUAACACGCCCGCCCGGAGUGAGGGAUGGGCGCAACAAUAACAUCUUUGUUGGCCCUGUCGAAGGCACCCUUAAGAUUAACGAAAGCUCUGCAGGACGGUUAUAUGAACUGGCAGCCAUUGUUGAUGUUUGCAUUGCUUGCUGGGGCCGGGAGAAUUCCACGAUUACAGCUCAAAUAGAAGGAGUGAGUGAGGCAGGAUGAGUUUGAUGGGUGCUUAGGCUGAGAGUCACGCCGCAGGGUCAGUGAGGGGUACGGCCGGCAGUAUGGUGACCCCUACGGCGGCGGCAGGUCAUCACAGGAGUACUCAUGUGACAGGAGCAACAGUUGGGAGGUGGUCACAGGGGAGGGGGCUGAUGACGAAGCCGUGGGAGGGGGAGAUGGUGCCAGGGAUUGGCAGGGUGGCCGGCCGGGCGCUGCAGGGGACGGCCGCUGCUCCGGACAUCAUGGCAUAUGGAUAACCUGGAGUCCGAAGUGGCACUUAAUAUUCUCAACACUGUGCUGACUAAUAAAGAAGAGGCACAGUGGUCAAGACAGAGGGACUGGGAAGGCAGACAGAAGAGGAGGAUGGACUGGGACGACCAGUACUAUGGGUCUGGCUGCGGCAUCCUACCCACCCCCCAGAUGCCCCCACGCUAACUGCCCUGGCGCGACCCUAACAUUGGCCCUGCACACUCCUGGGGUGUGGUGGGGGGCUUUGUACCAGGGCGGCCGGGGCAGGGGCAGGGUAGACCAACAGGACUGGGGUACAAGAUGAAGAAAACAUUGCUGGCUAAGAAGAAAAUAGGAGCUAAGGAGCUCCUCCCAGAACGAGCCCACACCUGCACCUGAGGACACACCCACACCCACACCUGCACCCAAGUCUGCACCCAAGCCUUCACCCACCCCCAGCACCCACUCCAGCACCCACUCCAGCACCCAGCACAGCCCAGGGGAAGGCCCAGGGCAGGCAGCCAAGGGCCGAGGCAGGGGCAGGGGUGUGGCUUGGGGGAGGAGAGUGUGAAGUGUGUGGGUUAGGUUUGUGUGUGGUAUUUUGUCUGGGCUGCUCCAUAUGUGGGAGAGCUCGGUUGGUGUAGAGAUGGAUAGAUAGAUGUGUGUGUGUGUGUGUGUGUGUGUGUGUGUGUGUGUGUGUGUGUGUGUGUGUGUGAGGGAUUUGUACUUCAUUCAAGCAUCUUUUAUUUUUACUACUGCUACUAUCUUGUUCACUACUGGAAGAUUAGUACUAAGAUGUGAUUCUUGUUAUUUUUAAGGGUAUUAUUCCAAUGUUUUUUGUAUGAUUGCAUCUCAUUCCUGUUGUACUUGAGAGAGAGAGAGAGAGAGAGAGAGAGAGAGAGAGAGAGAGAGAGAGAGAGAGAGAGAGAGAGAGAGAGAGAGAGAGAGAGAACAGGCCCCAUUGCUCAAACUAAUGAUAAAAAAAAAAACUCAACCAUUCCAAAAAGUAUAGAUAUAUUAGUUUUGUGAGUAGAAUUUGCCAGAAAGGAAAUUUGAAAUACAUGAGUGUGUGGGAGAGGCAAAGGAUAUGUAGGGCGGCAGAUUGGUGUGUGAAGGAUGUGUAGGAGAGGCUGAGGAUAUCCUGUACACUGUCAGGAUGGUUAAGAGUGAUUUGGAAGGAAGGUAGUGUGUGAAGGAUGCAUUAGGUAGGUUGUGUAGUAGUGGGUACAAUGUGUUAAGAAUGAUAUGUAUGUUACAGGAGAUAAGGAUGUGUAUUUUCACCACAAGUAUGUGUAGAGAUUGGUGUUAAGACAGUAGGAAGGUUUGAUUAAGCUGGACCAUCAUUCCUUGUGUUGUCUUAAUAAAUGUAUGCAAACUGA